UCGAAGUAGUGCUGCAGGACGGCGCGGUCGCCUCCCAGGCGGCCGAGUGGAGUGCGCUCGCGCCGUCCGAGGUUCGGGCCGUGGCCGCGAG
rnacentral:tRNA from 1 species